UAUCUUGUCACAACAACUGUACUGUUUUCAACCUGAUCACUUCACUUCUGAAAUUAAGAAGCUGAGAGUGGCCACAUGGAGACACAGUCGUCGUCAACGCCUCUGCUUAAUGGCACAGAGGAGGCGAUGAUUGCCGACGACGGCGACUAUGCUCCGAUCAGAAACUUGGAGGCGACAAAGAAGGUGAUAUGGAUUGAAAGUGUAAGAGUGUGGAAGAUUGCUGUGCCCAUUGCUUUUAACUUGCUCUGCAACUUCAGUAUCAUCCCCAUCACCUCGAUGUUCGUCGGCCAUCUCGGUAAUCUCGAGCUCUCCGCCGUCGCCAUCUCCCUAUCUGUCAUCGGAACAUUCACCUUUAGUUUAAUGUUGGGCAUGGGGAGUGCCUUGGAGACACUAUGUGGGCAAGCAUUCGGAGCUGGGCAAGUGCAUAUGCUUGGUGUUUACAUGCAACGCUCAUGCAUAAUACUGUUCGUCGCUUGCUUCAUCCUCUUGCCAGUUUUCAUCUUUGCUACACCAAUUCUAAAGCUUCUAGGCCAAGAAGAUGAAAUCGCCGAUCUUGCCGGCGUGUUCUCAAUCAAAACAAUCCCUCGGCUUUUCUCUCUCGCCUUCAUUUUUCCCACUCAAAAGUUUCUCCAAGCUCAGAGCAAGGUCAAUGUGCUGACCUUGAUUGGGUUCAUGGCUGUGGUCACUCAUGUUUUUUUGCUAUGGCUCUUCAUUUAUGUGCUCCAUUGGGGCACCACUGGGGCUGCAGUGGCUUGUGAUAUGUCUUUUUGGCUGAUUGCUUUGUCUCAGAUUGUUUAUGUUGUUGGAUGGUGUAAGGAAGGAUGGCAGGGAUUGUCGAUGUUGGCUUUUAAAGAUAUUUGGGCUUUUACGAGGUUGUCUCUAUCAUCCGGUAUCAUGAUUUGCUUUGAGAUUUGGUAUUUGAUGAGCCUCGUUCUUCUUACAGGACACCUUCAUGAUGCAGUCAUUGCUGUUGAUUCCCUUUCUAUUUGUAUGUAUUACAAUGGCUGGGAGAUCAUGGUAUUUCUUGGAGUAAAUGCAGCAAUCGGUGUUAGAGUCUCAAAUGAACUUGGAAUGGGGCAUCCAAGGACUGCCAAAUACUCAGUGUACGUCACGGUGACUGAGUCUCUUUUGCUUGGAAUUCUGUUCAUGGCUGUUGUACUAAUUGCUAGAAAGUACAUAGCUUUGCCUUUCACCACCAGUGCGACUCUACAAGAAGCUGUUGCCAGCCUUGCAUACUUGCUUGCUAUAACUAUGCUUCUUAACAGUGUUCAACAAUCGAUUUCAGGGGUGGCUGUGGGAGGAGGAUGGCAAGCAUUGGUAGCCUACAUCAAUGUGGGCUGUUAUUACAUUUUCGGCCUUCCAUUGGGUAUCGUUCUUGGUUACGUUGCAGAUUUGGGAGUUAAGAUUUUGUUUAUGGUCAGGGACUUUGGGGUGGCAUGUUAGGUGGCAUUGCUUUGCAGACCUUGAUGCUCUUAUUUCUGCUCUACAAAAUUAAUUGGAACAGAGAGGUUGAACAAGCGACGGAGCGCAUAAGAUCCUGGGGAGGGCAAGACAUGAAAAAUGAUGGAGCAGAGAAGAUUGAAGAGCAUAUUUAAACCAUGCAUGAUGAUAGUAUCUUGAAACAAUUCGCUAUAUAUUUAUACAUGGACUCCUUCCCUCCCCGCUUUCUAAUCAAGUUUCGAAUUCCAAUUUCUAUUCUAAUCAAAUUUCGCUGUAAUCAAAUUUAUUUUA